CGCGACCCCAGGUCAGGCGGGACUACCCGCU
rnacentral:rRNA from 2 species